ACGUGUUCUCUUUUGAUCUCGCGAGCAUUCUACCACUGAACCACCGAUGCUGUUGAAAUACUUACUCUCUUAUAAGAAAUUUCUCUUCAACGAUCAUUAAAAAAAUACGAACGA